rnacentral:rRNA from 1 species
CCUACGGGAGGCUGCAGUGGGGAAUAUUGCGCAAUGGGCGAAAGCCUGACGCAGCGACGCCGCGUGAGGUAUGAAGGUCUUCGGAUCGUACACCUCUGUCAGCAGGGCAGAACGGUCACUGUGCUAAUCAGCAGUGAAUUGACGGUACCUGCAAAGGAAGCACCGGCUAACUCCGUGCCAGCAGCCGCGGUAAUACGGAGGGUGCGAGCGUGAAUCGGAAUUACUGGGCGUAAAGCGCUCGUAGGCGGUAUGUCACGUCAAGGGUGAAAUCCCCGCGCUCAACGUGGGAACUGCCUUUGAAACUGGCAAACUGGAGUGUGUGAGAGGAUAGUGGAAUGCCAGGUGUAGGAGUGAACUCCGUAGAUAUCUGGAGGAACAUCAGUGGCGAAGGCGACUAUCUGGCACAUAACUGACGCUGAGGAGCGAAAGCGUGGGUAGCAAACAGGAUUAGAUACCCUGGUAGUC